UGGCCUCGCAAGUCCGUCGGGCAAUCCACUGGCUCAACCAGUGGGCGUCCGGCGGAAACUACGAGGCUUGGGACCGGAAGGCUCGAAGGGUACGUCCGGGGUAGGAGUGAAAUCCCGUAAUCCCGAACGGACCACCGAUGGCGAAAGCACUUCGAGAAGACGGAUCCGACAGUGAGGGACGAAAGCUAGGGUCUCGAACCGGAUUAGAUACCCGGGUAGUCCUAGCCGUAAACGAUGUUCGCUAGGUGUGGCACUGGCUACGAGCCAGUGCUGUGCCGUAGGGAAGCCGAGAAGCGAACCGCCUGGGAA
rnacentral:rRNA from 1 species